rnacentral:rRNA from 1 species
UACGUAGGGGGCAAGCGUUGUUCGGAAUUACUGGGCGUAAAGGGCGCGUAGGCGGCACGGCAAGUCGGGCGUGAAAGGCCUGGGCUCAACCCAGGAACGGCUUUCGAGACUGCCGAGCUAGAGUGCGGAAGGGGCAACUGGAAUUCCCAGUGUAGCGGUGAAAUGCGUAGAUAUUGGGAAGAACACCGGAGGCGAAGGCGGGUUGCUGGGCCGACACUGACGCUGAGGCGCGAAAGCCAGGGGAGCAAACGGG